rnacentral:rRNA from 1 species
GCAGUCGAACGUGAAACCCGAUGCUUGCAUUGGGGAGUAAAGUGGCGAACGGGUGAGUAACACGUUGGUGACCUGCCCCGAGGUGGGGGACAACCGUGGGAAACCACGGCUAGUACCCCAGAUGUUGAGGAGUCUAGACGUCCUUAACUAAAGUUCCGACGCCUCGGGAGGGGCCUGCGGGCUAUCAGCUUGUUGGUGGGGUAACGGCCUACCAAGGCUCAGACGGCUAGGGGGCGUGAGAGCGCGACCCCCCACAAUGGAACUGAGACACGGUCCAUACUCCUACGGGAGGCAGCAGUGAGGAAUAUUGCGCAAUGGGGGAAACCCUGACGCAGCAACGCCGCGUGGAUGAUGAAGGCCUUCGGGUUGUAAAAUCCUUUUCUGAGGGACGAUAAUGACGGUACCUCAGGAAUAAGUCCCGGCUAACUACGUGCCAGCAGCCGCGGUAAAACGUAGGGGGCGAGCGUUAUCCGGAUUUAUUGGGCGUAAAGCGCGCGUAGGCGGCACUGUAAGUUGGGCGUGAAAGCUCUCGGCUUAACUGAGAGAGGUCGUUCAAAACUACAGUGAUUGAGGUUGGAAGAGGAGAGUGGAAUUUCAGGUGUAGUGGUGGAAUGCGUAGAUAUCUGAAGGAACACCAGUGGAGAAAGCGACUCUCUGGUCCACACCUGACGCUGAGGUGCGAAAGCGUGGGUAGCGAACGGGAUUAGAUACCCCGGUAGUCC